GACGAACGCUGGCGGCGUGCUUAACACAUGCAAGUCGAACGGAAAGGCCCUGCUUGCAGGGUACUCGAGUGGCGAACGGGUGAGUAACACGUGGGUGAUCUGCCCUGCACUUCGGGAUAAGCCUGGGAAACUGGGUCUAAUACCGGAUAGGAGCCAUUUUUAGUGUGAUGGUUGGAAAGUUUUUUCGGUGUAGGAUGAGCUCGCGGCCUAUCAGCUUGUUGGUGGGGUAAUGGCCUACCAAGGCGGCGACGGGUAGCCGGCCUGAGAGGGUGGACGGCCACAUUGAGACUGAGAGGCGGCCCAGACUCCUACGGGAGGCAGCAGUGGGGAAUAUUGCACAAUGGGCGCAAGCCUGAUGCAGCGACGCCGCGUGGGGGAUGACGGCCUUCGGGUUGUAAACUCCUUUCGCUAGGGACGAAGCUUUUUGUGACGGUACCUAGAUAAGAAGCACCGGCUAACUACGUG
rnacentral:rRNA from 1 species